UCCAGGAGUUUUAACCAACAGAAACACAGUGGACGGAGCGCACGCUUUCAGCUCUCGAGGGGACACUUGCUGGUCACACGGUGGUCCUCUGGGCCACUCCACCCCUGCGCGCCUCGGGCAAUGGAUCGGCCCAGGGCCUGAACCAAGUGACCCGCGCUCCAGGAGGGCAGCGACAGACCGCAGGCCCCAUCCACGCGCUCCGGCCUCGGCCCAACCAAGCGGACCGAGAAUUUCCGGCACAGAGACACUCUCCGCGUGAUUCACCUGUUGAAAGUGGGCGGGUCCGCCGCGCACCUGUUCUCUCCUCGCCCACACCCCCGUCCCCAGCGGGCGAUGGACCCGCCUAGGUGCGCCCCAUGGGGAGGGACGAGUCGGAGCGAGGUCCGGGCACCUGCUUUUCCGUUUGCCCUGGGACUCCUCAGGCCUGGUUGCCCUAAGGUGCUGUGGACUUCCUGUGCCUAAGGAGUAAAGAGAAGUCCCUGAAAGGAAAGCUCUGCACCCCCUAGGGACGCCCGAGGGGACUUAGACUCUCCAGAGUUGGAAUUUAUUGCGAAAGUUUUCGCCACCUCCCCCUACUCCGAACUCUUGGUUCGGCCCCAGAGUAUCCCUCGCCCCAGGCCAGGCCUCCGGAAACUCUGGCUCUUAAAGGGGCCGAGCGGGGGCGCCAAACCAGGGUUCAGUUUCCGCCCAGAGAUCCCGGGAACUAGCCACCUGAGCGGAGAGCUGGGCGCGGCCCCGCGGUGUGGCAAGCAGCCUGCGCUGCGUUCGCGCGCCUCUGCUGCCUCCCGGUGGCGCUGAAGGAAAGUGCAACCUGGGAAAUACUGCUUUCCAACCGAAAAGUUGCAGAGUGGCCGCUGGCUGGUGGGUCGGGUAGCUAGAAGUGUUUUAUUUCAUCAUGUACUGUACUUAGGUCACGUUCCUCCGCGCAAAACCGUGCCAUGGCUCCUCAUUCCCAGCAGAAACCAAAAUACAGUGGCCCGAUCGCCCCUGUGCCCCCUCUGGUUCAACUUCAUCCUCAGUGACUUCCUCAGUGAUUAUUUUUCAGUCUGCCUCUCAGACCGCCUCACGGACAUCGCCCAUGCCACUACUCUUCCAGGACACCCUUCCAUAGCUGUCAGCAUGGUCCUUCGUCUCCUUUAGGGCUUCACUUAGAUGUCACCUUUGCAAUGACCUCUUUCCUAGCCACUUGUAAAAUUUCAACCUCCACAUACCUUCACAACUUUAAAUUAUUUUGAUAAAUUAUACAUACCACAACAUUUAUUUUAACCAUUUCUAAGUGUGAACUUUGGUGAUCUUACAUUCAUCAUAUUGGAUGCGCUCAAACCUUUUCAUUGUCCUCAAUAUAAAUUCUCACCCAAUUAAACAUUUCUCAUUCCUUCUUGCCCUGCCCCUAACUACUAACAUUUAUUCUACGUUGUGGCUAUCGAAUUCAUAUAAAUGGAAUUAUAUAACAUUUGCACUUC